ensembl:ncRNA Y75B8A.48 ncRNA
UGCUUAGGCUUAGGCUUAGGCUCAGUCUUAGGCUUAGGCUUAGGCUUAGGCUUAUACUUAGGCUUAGGCUUAUACUUAGGCUUAGGCUUAUGCUUAGGCUUAGACUUAAUCCUAAGCUAAGGCUUAGGCUUAGGCUUAGA